AAAAAAAUUAGAUCUUAUGCAGAUGAGGGAGAAGGCCGAGAUCUGAAGGGCGACGCCGUCGUUUGAAACCCGGACGGCGGCGGCUGGAUACGGGCUGUGCAGAGGGAGGCGGCAGCGAAUUUAUUGUUGUUGAGGGAGGCGCUAACGAGGCAAUGCCACCACAUCUUCGUACGGUGGUGGAGGAGCCCGCCUCUAAGGUUAUAUCAUAUGAAACCGGACGGCGGCGGCUGCGGGCUGUGCAGAGGAAAACGGCGGCGCAUUUAUCGUCGUCGAGAAGGGAGGUGACGACGCGUGGAGCGGUUGCAGCUGCGUGGCUUGUGGAGAAGACUUGAAUUGUAGAAGAUGUAUGGAUGGUUGGAUCUGCAAAGUGAGAACGGCGGAUCUAAUGAGAGAGAAUUUUGAGAGAAUUUUGGGAGAAGUGGAGAACACUCUAGAAUUCAAAGGUAGCGGCUGAAAAAGUGAAUGUCUCUCUGUAUUUAUAUUAUGUUGUGUUUAUUGAAUUAAUAAAUAUUGUGGUUGGGGCUCUCAAAAAUUUGUAGUAGCAUUCAG
rnacentral:lncRNA from 1 species